GGGGUGACGGCGUACCUUUUGUAUAAUGGGUCAGCGACUUACGUUCAGUAGCAAGCUUAACCGUAUAGGGCAGGCGUAGCGAAAGCGAGUCCGAAUAGGGCGUUCAGUUGCUGGGCGUAGACCCGAAACCAGGUGAUCUAUCCAUGGCCAGGAUGAAGGUGCGGUAACACGUACUGGAGGUCCGAACCCACUAACGUUGAAAAGUUAGGGGAUGAGCUGUGGAUAGGGGUGAAAGGCUAAACAAACCUGGAAAUAGCUGGUUCUCUCCGAAAACUAUUUAGGUAGUGCCUCGUGUCUCACCUUCGGGGGUAGAGCACUGUCAUGGUUGGGGGGUCUAUUGCAGAUUACCCCGCCAUAGCAAACUCCGAAUACCGAAGAGUGCAAUCACGGGAGACAGACAUCGGGUGCUAACGUCCGGUGUCAAGAGGGAAACAACCCAGACCGCCAGCUAAGGUCCCCAAAUAUGGCUAAGUGGGAAACGAAGUGGGAAGGCUAAAACAGUCAGGAGGUUGGCUUAGAAGCAGCCACCCUUUAAAGAAAGCGUAAUAGCUCACUGAUCGAGUCGUCCUGCGCGGAAGAUGUAACGGGGCUAAGCCAUAUACCGAAGCUGCGGAUGCGAGCUAGUCUCGCAUGGUAGGAGAGCGUUCCGUAAGCCUGCGAAGGUGCCUUGUAAAGGGUGCUGGAGGUAUCGGAAGUGCGAAUGCUGACAUGAGUAGCGAUAAAGGGGGUGAAAGGCCCCCUCGCCGUAAGCCCAAGGUUUCCUACGCAACGUUCAUCGGCGUAGGGUGAGUCGGCCCCUAAGGCGAGGCAGAAAUGCGUAGCUGAUGGGAAGCAGGUCAAUAUUCCUGCACCGUCGUUAGAUGCGAUGGGGGGACGGAUCGCGGAAGGUUGUCCGGGUGUUGGAAGUCCCGGUCGCUGCAUUGGAGAAGGCGCUUAGGCAAAUCCGGGCGCAGGAUUCAAGGGUGUGGCGCGAGCUCCCUCGGGAGCGAAGCAAUUGGAAGUGGUUCCAAGAAAAGCCUCUAAGCUUCAGUCUAACGAUGACCGUACCGCAAACCGACACAGGUGGGCGAGAUGAGUAUUCUAAGGCGCUUGAGAGAACUCGGGAGAAGGAACUCGGCAAAUUGGUACCGUAACUUCGGGAUAAGGUACGCCCUUGUAGCUUGACUGGCCUGCGCCAGGAGGGUGAAGGGGUUGCAAUAAACUGGUGGCUGCGACUGUUUAAUAAAAACACAGCACUCUGCAAACACGAAAGUGGACGUAUAGGGUGUGACGCCUGCCCGGUGCCGGAAGAUUAAAUGAUGGGGUGCAAGCUCUUGAUUGAAGUCCCGGUAAACGGCGGCCGUAACUAUAACGGUCCUAAGGUAGCGAAAUUCCUUGUCGGGUAAGUUCCGACCUGCACGAAUGGCGUAACGAUGGCCACACUGUCUCCUCCCGAGACUCAGCGAAGUUGAAGUGUUUGUGAUGAUGCAAUCUACCCGCGGCUAGACGGAAAGACCCCAUGAACCUUUACUGUAGCUUUGCAUUGGACUUUGAACCGAUCUGUGUAGGAUAGGUGGGAGGCUAUGAAACCGGAACGCCAGUUUCGGUGGAGCCGUCCUUGAAAUACCACCCUGGUUUGUUUGAGGUUCUAACCUUGGCCCGUGAUCCGGGUCGGGGACAGUGCAUGGUAGGCAGUUUGACUGGGGCGGUCUCCUCCCAAAGCGUAACGGAGGAGUACGAAGGUACGCUAGGUACGGUCGGAAAUCGUGCUGAUAGUGCAAUGGCAUAAGCGUGCUUAACUGCGAGACCGACAAGUCGAGCAGGUGCGAAAGCAGGUCAUAGUGAUCCGGUGGUUCUGUAUGGAAGGGCCAUCGCUCAACGGAUAAAAGGUACUCUGGGGAUAACAGGCUGAUACCGCCCAAGAGUUCAUAUCGACGGCGGUGUUUGGCACCUCGAUGUCGGCUCAUCUCAUCCUGGGGCUGUAGCCGGUCCCAAGGGUAUGGCUGUUCGCCAUUUAAAGAGGUACGUGAGCUGGGUUUAAAACGUCGUGAGACAGUUUGGUCCCUAUCUGCCGUGGGCGUUGGAUAUUUGAAGGGGGCUGCUCCUAGUACGAGAGGACCGGAGUGGACGAACCUCUGGUGUACCGGUUGUGACGCCAGUCGCAUCGCCGGGUAGCUAUGUUCGGAAGAGAUAACCGCUGAAAGCAUCUAAGCGGGAAACUCGCCUUAAGAUGAGAUAUCCCUGGAGGCUUGACCUCCUUGAAGGGUCGUUCGAGACCAGGACGUUGAUAGGUCGGGUGUGUAAGCGCAGUAAUGCGUUCAGCUAACCGAUACUAAUUGCCCGUAAGGCUUGAUCCUAUAACA
rnacentral:rRNA from 1 species